rnacentral:rRNA from 1 species
CCUACGGGAGGCAGCAGUGGGGAAUAUUGGGCAAUGGGCGCAAGCCUGAACCAGCAACGCCGCGUGAGGGAAGAAGGCUUUAGGGUUGUAAACUUCUUUUGUCCGGGAAGCGUAGACGACGGUACCUGACGGCUCAGCCACGGCUAACUACGUGCCAGCAGCCGCGGUAAUAGGUAGGUGGCACGCGUUGUCCGGAUUUACUGGGUGUAAAGGGCGUGUAGCCGGGUUGACAAGUUAGAUGUGAAAUCCUGGGGCUUAACCGCAGAACUGCAUUUGAAACUGUUGAUCUUGAGUACUGGAGAGGCAGACGGAAUUCCCGGUGUAGCGGUGAAAUGCGUAGAUAUUAGGAGGAACACCAGUGGCGAAGGCGGUCUGCUGGACAGCAACUGACGGUGAGGCGCGAAAGCGUGGGGAGCAAACAGGAUUAGAUACCCCAGUAGUC